rnacentral:rRNA from 1 species
AGUGAACGCUGGCGGCAGGCCUAACACAUGCAAGUCGAACGGUAACACAGUAAAACCUUGUUCUUUCCGGAGGCGAGGCGGGGGCGUGCGUGGAAUAUGUGAAACUCCCUUUUGGAGGGGGGGAACACGUGGGGACGGUAACUCAUACACCAUAACGUACCAAGGCGAAAAAGCGGGACCUCUUGGCACCUUGCGAGAGGGUGUGACCAGAUGGGAUUAGCUAGUAGGUGGGGUAACGGCUCACCUAGGCGACGAUCCCUAGCUGGUCUGAGAGGAUGAUCAGCCACACUGGAACUGAGACACGGUCCAGACUCCUACGGGAGGCAGCAGUGGGGAAUAUUGCACAAUGGGCGCAAGCCUGAUGCAGCCAUGCCGCGUGGGUGAAGAAGGCCUUCGGGUUGUAAAGCCCUUUUGGUGGGGAAGAAAGGCAGAAAGUUAAUACCUUGGCGUUUUGACGGUACCCAAAGAAUAAGCACCGGCUAACUUCGUG